UUUAAGAAGCGAUCUGAUUGGUUGCUAUGGGCAACUCAGAAACUCUUCCUCUGGACAGGUUUUGAUAAAUCUCCCUCUGUACCAGCGACAGUUUAUUUAAUAUAUAGCAUCCAUAUAAUUGCAAUUUUUAUCUGUAGAUAUCGACGCAAUUCGAAAAAGUGUGCAACAAAUAGUAUUCAUUAGAACACUGCCUACAGCAUACACUGCCACUAUAUAUACAAAUCAGGUCUUCAAAAACAACAUGCAUGUCCGAAAACGGUGCGAUGAGGAGAUGUACGACACACACCUAUUGUUUCCAGAGAUGAGUGAGUGACUGAGAAGACGCAUUCAAAGACUUAUCCGUGUGUUUUUUGUAUAAUGUUAUCGUCUUGCUUUAUAUCGACCCAGGCAGUACAAUAAAGUUGUUAUUACCUUGCCAAUCCUCUAAUGAUAAUGAGAUGGCUCUUGCCAAUAUGACCAGGGGCCUGAAUGAAAACUGAAAUCUUUCAAGAUUUUUUAAAUGUUUUUAUGCAUUGAUCCUCGUAUUUUCUGGUUAUGUUGUGUAUG